AUCUGGCGUCUUCGACGUCCGAGUUGUAAUUUGAAGAAGGCGACUUUGUAGCUGGUCCUUGUCUAUGUUCCUUGGAACAGGACGUCAUAGAGGGUGAGAAUCCCGUGUGGCGAGGAUCCCAGUUAUUUGUAAAGUGCUUUCGACGAGUCGAGUUGUUUGGGAAUGCAGCUCUAAGUGGGUGGUAAAUUCCAUCUAAAGCUAAAUAUUGGCGAGAGACCGAUAGCGAACAAGUACAGUGAUGGAAAGAUGAAAAGAACUUUGAAAAGAGAGUGAAAAAGUACGUGAAAUUGUUGAAAGGGAAGGGCAUUUGAUCAGACAUGGCGUUUGCUUCGGCUUUCGCUGGGCCAGCAUCAGUUUUAGCGGUUGGAUAAAUCCUCGGGAAUGUGGCUCUGCUUCGGUAGAGUGUUAUAGCCCGUGGGAAUACAGCCAGCUGGGAC
rnacentral:rRNA from 1 species